UAAUACGUAGGUGGCAAGCGUUGUCCGGAAUUAUUGGGCGUAAAGCGCGCGCAGGCGGUCCUUUAAGUCUGAUGUGAAAGCCCACGGCUCAACCGUGGAGGGUCAUUGGAAACUGGGGGACUUGAGUACAGAAGAGGAAAGCGGAAUUCCACGUGUAGCGGUGAAAUGCGUAGAGAUGUGGAGGAACACCAGUGGCGAAGGCGGCUUUCUGGUCUGUAACUGACGCUGAGGCGCGAAAGCGUGGGGAGCAAACAGGAUUAGAUACCCUGGUAGUCCACGCCGUAAACGAUGAGUGCUAAGUGUUAGAGGGUUUCCGCCCUUUAGUGCUGCAGCUAACGCAUUAAGCACUCCGCCUGGGGAGUACGGCCGCAAGGCU
rnacentral:rRNA from 1 species